UACGGAGGGUGCGAGCGUUAAUCGGAAUUACUGGGCGUAAAGCGCGCGUAGGUGGCUUAGUAAGUCGGUUGUGAAAGCCCCGGGCUCAACCUGGGAAUUGCAUUCGAUACUGCUAGGCUAGAGUAUGGGAGAGGGAAGUGGAAUUCCGGGUGUAGCGGUGAAAUGCGUAGAUAUCCGGAGGAACACCAGUGGCGAAGGCGGCUUCCUGGACCAAUACUGACACUGAGGCGCGAAAGCGUGGGGAGCAAACAGG
rnacentral:rRNA from 1 species